rnacentral:tRNA from 1 species
AAUAGGAUANAAUAAAAGGAUUAUCGUGAUAGGAUAAAUUAUGUAAUACUUCANAUUACCUUUACUA